CGCAUUGAUCGACAACCCAACCUAUUCUUUUGAUGAAUCUCGAAGUUUUCACAAGUGUCAAGCAGAGUUUAUAUAGGUGUCAAAAAUUGAGAAAUUGAAUAAGGAAAGUGCCGUGACAGACAUAAUCAUGACAAAAACGUGUAUUAUUUGCAAAAAACAACCUAUUCCAUUUGAUAAAUCUCGAAGUUUUCACAAAUUUCCUGCUAACGUUGAAUUAAAAAAACAGUGGAUGGAAGCUGUUGGUGUGACAACAGUUUCUAAGGCAGCCACUGUAUGUAGCGAC